GGCUCCAUAGCUCAGUGGUUAGAGCGCCUGUCUAGUAAACAGGAGGUCGUGGGUUCGAUCCCCAUUGGAGCCU
rnacentral:tRNA from 1 species